AUUCCACAGAGAUUUCAUUAAAGAAGAGACAGCUCAGAGAAUGGGGCUGCUGAUGGGGUCUCUGGAGCAUGAUCCUGGAGAAGAAAAAGCAGGUCACUGGUCAACUCGGACUGGAGGUUUUCUGUAAGAAAUUGGAUAAGGACUGGGCUGCACAGAUUCAGGAGGAAACACCAUAUGAGGACACAGUGAGAAGGCAACCGUCUGCAAACCAGGAAGAGAAUCUCACCAGACACCAACCUUGCCAACACCUUAAUCUUGGGCUUCCAGUGUCUGGAACUGUACAAUAAUUUUCUUCUCUUUAAUCCACCUGGCUGACCAUCACGUUUUUGUUCACGUUCUGAAGCUACCUUACGUUUGCCCUUGCCAAUGAAUUGCCAGCAAAUAAAAACCAGGUGAAACUUAUACAACUGUUUCUUGAUCAAAUUAACAAAGAUUUGGAAAAAUGGAUUAACAAUUUCAUAAUGUUCAAAAAAUACUGUCAUAUGUAGGAUAUCAAAUAAUACCGAGACUUACUAGUUGACA